UGGGGAAUCUUGCGCAAUGCGCGAAAGCGUGACGCAGCAACGCCGCGUGGGGGAAGACGGCCUUCGGGUUGUAAACCCCUUUCAGGAGGGACGAAGGUUCACCGGUGAAUAGCCGUGUGGAUUGACGGUACCUCCAGAAGAAGCUCCGGCUAACUACGUGCCAGCAGCCGCGGUAAUACGUAGGGAGCAAGCGUUGUCCGGAAUCAUUGGGCGUAAAGCGCGCGUAGGCGGCCCCGUAAGUCCGCUGUGAAAGUCAAAGGCUCAACCUUUGAAAGCAGGUAGAUACUGUGGGGCUAGAGUCCGGAAGAGGCGAGUGGAAUUCCUGGUGUAGCGGUGGAAUGCGCAGAUAUCAGGAGGAACACCAAUGGCGGAGGCAGCUCGCUGGGACGGUACUGACGCGAAGGCGCGAAAGCGUGGGGAGCGAACAGG
rnacentral:rRNA from 1 species